rnacentral:rRNA from 1 species
GACGAACGCUGGCGGCGUGCCUAAUACAUGAAAGUAGAACGCAGUUGCGAACGGGUGAGUAACGCGUAGGUAACUGCCUAAUAGCGGGGGAUAACGAUGGGAAACGAAAGCUAAUACCGCAUACGGGGAGAUGGACGUGCGGUUUAUUAGCUAGUUGGUGAGGUAAAGGCUCCCCAAGGCGACGAUACCUAGACGACCUGAGAGGGUGACCGGCCACACAGGGACUGAGACGCGGCCCCGGCUCCUACGGGAGGCAACAGUAGGGAAUCUUCGGCAAUGGACGGCAGUCUGACCGAGCCACGCCGCGUGAGUUACGAAGGUUUUCUGAUCUUAAAGCUCUGUUGUUAGAGAAGCGGUAACUAACCAGAAAGCAACGGCUAACUACGUGCCAGCAGCCGCGGUAAUAC